AUUGAACGCUGGCGGCAUGCCUUACACAUGCAAGUCGAACGGCAGCGGGCCUUCGGGUGCCGGCGAGUGGCGAACGGGUGAGUAAUGCAUCGGAACGUGCCAUUGAGUGGGGGAUAACGUAGCGAAAGUUGCGCUAAUACCGCAUAUUCUGUGAGCAGGAAAGCAGGGGACCGCAAGGCCUUGCGCUCUUUGAGCGGCCGAUGUCAGAUUAGCUAGUUGGUGAGGUAAAGGCUUACCAAGGCGACGAUCUGUAGCGGGUCUGAGAGGAUGAUCCGCCACACUGGAACUGAGACACGGUCCAGACUCCUACGGGAGGCAGCAGUGGGGAAUUUUGGACAAUGGGGGCAACCCUGAUCCAGCCAUGCCGCGUGAGUGGAGAAGGCC
rnacentral:rRNA from 1 species